CUCUCUGGGUCUUAGACUUUUUAGUGUUAAAACAUAGUAUUCAUAAUAUUGUUAAGAAUGUUAGUAAACAGAUCCCUUUUAGUGCUGGUACAGAUAGAAGUUGGUAAACUUUCUGGACAGCCAGUUUGCAGAAUAAUUACAGAUUCUUUUGAAAACGUGAAUAACUUUUCCCCCAAAGAACAGAAAUGAAUAAGUGUUCACAGAUGAAGAAACCAAGGGACAGAGAAAUAAAGUAACUUGCAGAGAUGGCAGAGUAAGAAUUUGUAUCCAGGCAUCUGAUCUGGAGCCUACAUUCCGAAACCUUCAACCUGACUG